UUCCGGUUGAUCCUGCCGGCGGCCACCGCUAUAGGAAUUCGAUUAAGACAUGCGAGUCGAGAGUCUUCGGGACUCGGCGGACUGCUCAGUAACACGUGGAGAACGUGCCCUUAAGUGGAGGAUAAUCUCGGGAAAUUGAGGAUAAUACUCCAUAGAUCAUGGGAUCUGGAAUGACCCAUGGUUGAAAGUUCCGGCGCUUAAGGAUCGCUCUGCGGCUUAUCAGGUUGUAGUGGGUGUAACGUACCCCCUAGCCAGUGACGAGUAUGGGCCUUGAGAGAGGGAGCCCAGAGUUGGAUUCUGAGACACGAAUCCAGGCCCUACGGGGCGCAGCAGUCGCGAAAACUUCACACUGGGGGCAACCCCGAUGAGGGAAUUCCUAGUGCUAGGACAUUUGUUCUAGCUUUUCUCUAGCGUAGAUAACUAGAGGAAUAAGGGCUGGGUAAGACGGGUGCCAGCCGCCGCGGUAAUACCUGCAGCCCAAGUGGUGGUCGAUUUUAUUGAGUCUAAAGCGUUCGUAGCCGGUUUGAUAAAUCCUUGGGUAAAUCGGGAAGCUUAACUUUCCGACUUCCGAGGAGACUGUCAAACUUGGGACCGGGAGAGGCUAGAGGUACUUCUGGGGUAGGGGUAAAAUCCUGUAAUCCUAGAAGGACCACCGGUGGCGAAGGCGUCUAGCUAGAACGGAUCCGACGGUGAGGGACGAAGCCCUGGGUCGCAAACGGGAUUAGAUACCCCGGUAGUCCAGGGUGUAAACGCUGCCGACUUGGUGUUGGAGGCCCUUCGGGGGCAUUCAGUGCCGGAGAGAAGUUGUUAAGUCGGCCACUUGGGGAGUACGUCCGCAAGGAUGAAACUUAAAGGAAUUGGCGGG
rnacentral:rRNA from 1 species